ensembl:lncRNA
CUCCACUAUCAGUCUUGCAGCCACAAAGCCAGGGCUGUGUUUGCCCGGCUCUGCUGCACCCUUGCCACAGCUACAUUCAGUAUGAGCCCUCCACCAGGAUGUUUCUGCCUUGGAGCCAGACAACCAUGGACUGAAACUUCUGAAACCAUGAGUCAAAUAAACCUCUCCUCCUUCAAGUUGCAGGUAUCAGAAACUAUUGGGGAUUCUGAAGUGAAAACCACUGAAAGUAUGAAGAAAACUACUACGACUGGACUUCCAGGAUUUUUAGCUCUCAAGCUGGUCCACAUUCAGCCUCUAACAAUUCAUUAAAAGUGUUUUUUCUGUUUUCCCCUCAGUAUCCACUUUUGAUGACUUCUGUUCCUGGUGUGGGAGUCUCAGCUGUCAUUCUUUGUGUUUAUUCAUCUUUCCAAAUUUCAAUGACAGUUUUCCCUGUGACUUCAGUUCUUUAAUGAGUCUAAUAAAAG